UACGUAGGGGGCUAGCGUUGUCCGGAAUCAUUGGGCGUAAAGAGCGUGUAGGCGGCCCGGUAAGUCCGCUGUGAAAGUCCAGGGCUCAACCCUGGGAUGCCGGUGGAUACUGUCGGGCUCGAGUCCGGAAGAGGCGAGUGGAAUUCCUGGUGUAGCGGUGAAAUGCGCAGAUAUCAGGGGGAACACCAAUGGCGAAGGCAGCUCGCUGGGACGUGACUGACGCUGAGACGCGAAAGCGUGGGGAGCAAACAGG
rnacentral:rRNA from 1 species